rnacentral:rRNA from 1 species
CUUAAAGGAAUUGACGGGGACCCGCACAAGCGGUGGAUGAUGUGGUUUAAUUCGAUGCAACGCGAAAAACCUUACCCACCUUUGACAUGUACGGAAUUUGCCAGAGAUGGCUUAGUGCUCGAAAGAGAGCCGUAACACAGGUGCUGCAUGGCUGUCGUCAGCUCGUGUCGUGAGAUGUUGGGUUAAGUCCCGCAACGAGCGCAACCCUUGUCAUUAGUUGCUACAUUCAGUUGGGCACUCUAAUGAGACUGCCGGUGACAAACCGGAGGAAGGUGGGGAUGACGUCAAGUCCUCAUGGCCCUUAUAGGUGGGGCUACACACGUCAUACAAUGGCUGGUACAGAGGGUUGCCAACCCGCGAGGGGGAGCUAAUCCCAUAAAACCAGUCGUAGUCCGGAUCGCAGUCUGCAACUCGACUGCGUGAAGUCGGAAUCGCUAGUAAUCGCGGAUCAGAAUGUCGCGGUGAAUACGUUCCCGGGUCUUGUACACACCGCCCGUCACACCAUGGGAACCGGGUUCUGCCAGAAGUAGUUAGCCU